AAUAGAUACCCCGGUAGUCCUGGCCCUAAACGAUGAAUGCUUGGUGUGGCGGGUAUCGAUCCCUGCCGUGCCGAAGUUAACGCGAUAAGCAUUCCGCCUGGGGAGUACGGCCGCAAGGCUGAAACUCAAAGGAAUUGACGGGGGCCCGCACAAGCGGUGGAGCAUGUGGUUCAAUUCGACGCAACGCGAAGAACCUUACCUGGGCUCGAAAUGCAGAUGACCAUCGGCGAAAGUCGACUUCCGCAAGGACAACUGUAUAGGUGCUGCAUGGCUGUCGUCAGCUCGUGUCGUGAGAUGUUGGGUUAAGUCCCGCAACGAGCGCAACCCUUGUUCUCUGUUGCCAUCAGGUCAAGCUGGGCACUCUGAGGAGACUGCCGGUGACAAACCGGAGGAAGUGGGGAUGACGUCAAGUCAGCAUGGCCUUUAUGUCCAGGGCUACACACGUGCUACAAUGGCCGGUACAAAGCGCUGCAAGCCCGCAGGGUAAGCCAAUCGCAUAAAGCCGGUCU
rnacentral:rRNA from 1 species